rnacentral:rRNA from 1 species
GGUUAAGCGACUAAGCGUACACGGUGGAUGCCCUGGCAGUCAGAGGCGAUGAAGGACGUGCUAAUCUGCGAUAAGCGUCGGUAAGGUGAUAUGAACCGUUAUAACCGGCGAUUUCCGAAUGGGGAAACCCAGUGUGUUUCGACACACUAUCAUUAACUGAAUCCAUAGGUUAAUGAGGCGAACCGGGGGAACUGAAACAUCUAAGUACCCCGAGGAAAAGAAAUCAACCGAGAUUCCCCCAGUAGCGGCGAGCGAACGGGGAGGAGCCCAGAGCCUGAAUCAGUGUGUGUGUUAGUGGAAGCGUCUGGAAAGGCGCGCGAUACAGGGUGACAGCCCCGUACACAAAAAUACACAUAUUGUGAGCUCGAUGAGUAGGGCGGGACACGUGGUAUCCUGUCUGAAUAUGGGGGGACCAUCCUCCAAGGCUAAAUACUCCUGACUGACCGAUAGUGAACCAGUACCGUGAGGGAAAGGCGAAAAGAACCCCGGCGAGGGGAGUGAAAAAGAACCUGAAACCGUGUACGUACAAGCAGUGGGAGCACGCUUAGGCGUGUGACUGCGUACCUUUUGUAUAAUGGGUCAGCGACUUAUAUUCUGUAGCAAGGUUAACCGAAUAGGGGAGCCGAAGGGAAACCGAGUCUUAACUGGGCGUUAAGUUGCAGGGUAUAGACCCGAAACCCGGUGAUCUAGCCAUGGGCAGGUUGAAGGUUGGGUAACACUAACUGGAGGACCGAACCGACUAAUGUUGAAAAAUUAGCGGAUGACUUGUGGCUGGGGGUGAAAGGCCAAUCAAACCGGGAGAUAGCUGGUUCUCCCCGAAAGCUAUUUAGGUAGCGCCUCGUGAAUUCAUCUCCGGGGGUAGAGCACUGUUUCGGCAAGGGGGUCAUCCCGACUUACCAACCCGAUGCAAACUGCGAAUACCGGAGAAUGUUAUCACGGGAGACACACGGCGGGUGCUAACGUCCGUCGUGAAGAGGGAAACAACCCAGACCGCCAGCUAAGGUCCCAAAGUCAUGGUUAAGUGGGAAACGAUGUGGGAAGGCCCAGACAGCCAGGAUGUUGGCUUAGAAGCAGCCAUCAUUUAAAGAAAGCGUAAUAGCUCACUGGUCGAGUCGGCCUGCGCGGAAGAUGUAACGGGGCUAAACCAU